rnacentral:rRNA from 1 species
UACGGGGGGGAGCAAGCGUUGUUCGGAUUUACUGGGCGUAAAGGGCGCGUAGGCGGCCACCGCAAGUCGACUGUGAAAUCUCCGGGCUUAACCCGGAAAGGUCAGCCGAUACUGCGGGGCUAGAGUGCAGAAGGGGCAACUGGAAUUCUCGGUGUAGCGGUGAAAUGCGUAGAUAUCAGGAGGAACACCAAUGGCGAAGGCAGCUCGCUGGGACGGUACUGACGCUGAGACGCGAAAGCGUGGGGAGCAAACAGG